rnacentral:lncRNA from 1 species
UAAGUGGGCACAUGGGAGCACCCUCAGCUCCCUCUCCAUGGGAUACCCUGUGGGGCACUUCAGAGUCCCCACCAGCAAGAAGGCUCUCUCUCACCAGAUGUGCCCCCCGCCAACCUUGGAUGUCUCAGUCUCCAGAACUCAGAUGAGCCAGCUCCCUUGUGAAGCUGUAAGAACAUGGUACUUACAGGAGUAAGGCUCAUGAAGUGGAGAGAUGAGAAGACUUUCGGGACAGAUUGUGUGGAGGCUGUCAUUCUCCUCGUGACAUUGCUGUGGGAGAAGAAGGAGGCAUUCCAUGUUGGCUUCAGUGAAGAACUUCAGGCUGUAUGAAGCUGAGGCAAGAUUGCGUUCAAUUUAUCUUGUGUUCAACAGUCUUCAAGGUGAUUUAGAUCACUGCCUGGGAAAGCUAAUGUAGUACAGCAUGAGUGGACUCCAGGGAUUGGCCUGUCAUUUACACUGUCAACAGUUCUUGCUUCUGAACAGCAUAUCUUCCUUCCUAGUGUUAUUGAAGACUCAACAUCCUUUCUGAGAGAAGGAUGGAGCAAAUGCCCCAGAUGAAGCCUACACGACAUGAGUCAGAGAACUUUGGCCAGGAUGUCUGGGGAAAAAGUUUCCUCUUUCUUCUCUGGGAACUAUCUGGAGAGGGUUGUUUUAACGCUGGAUGUGAACAGCGACUCGUGUAGCCCCAGAAGCCUCUGACAGCCGCGUUGGAAUCAUAAGUUCUCAAAAUGAAGGUUGUGGUCUAGAAAGCAUAUUGUGAUUUGUACAAGAAGCACAUUCCCAUUUUACAAAAGUACAAAAGCACAUUUUGGACUUUUAACAAAUUCAACUGUUUUGUGUUCUGUGUGAGUAAAUUUUAGGUUGCCCAUCAUUGAAAACCAGUUUAAAAAAAAAUAAUGGGAGUAGAUAAUCCAGACAACAUUUUCUACCGUAUUUGUUGACUCCAGUUGUUGGAAAGUAAAAUUCUGGAGGAAGAGCUGGGAUAUCUCCAGGGGCUUAGUUUAACAUCAUCAAAGACUCUCCUGCUCCCCCUUUGCAUGUUACAGUAUCUGCUUUACCAAUCAGAGGGAAAUUUAUCAUGUAGGAUUUAAAGGAGAUAUUUAUGGCGUCCGUAAGCACAAUGACUUUGACUGGUAAGACGUCAGCUAUUCCCUUUAGGAGAUAAAAGGCCACAGCUGGUGAGGUAAUAGAACAGGAACUGUUUCAAUAUUUCAAAACAGAAGACCUUGUUGAAGAAGAGAGAUUUUAUAUGGCAUUUGCUUUUAUUUUUUUCCUUCUAUGAUGAACAGGUGUGGGAGUCAAUUCAAGAAGGCAGCUUAGAUGAUUGUGAGACAAGGGAGGGAGGUAAAUAUUUUUGAUGGUUGGGGAAGGACUGAGAUUUUCAAACUUCAAACCAAACAUGUAGUCCAAGCCUUUUCUACCUGUGUACACAAAGGAAAGAGGAAACUAAGUCAAUGUAAAAUAGGCAGUUGUUGUUUGGAAAAGUUAUGAAAUCCUCCUGGCUACACAAAACAGAAAGCCCAGCUAUGUGACAAGUGUUUGAUGUAAAUAUGCAAAUGCAGUUUUAAAUUCAUUAUACCUAAGGGAACAAGGUGUCUGGGUAAGGGGGGUUCUACUGUUUCUUAAGCUUACAAAGCAGGUCCUUGAAUAAUGUCAUUUAAGUUCAAUGUAAUUUCCUUAUAAUGUUGAUGAGAAAAAAAAAAUGGAUUCCUAGCUGAAGUCAUUGUGUGUGUGGACUUUGCAUGUCCUCCCCAUGUCUGGUUUCCUCCCAAAACCCAAAGCUGUGUCCGUUAGAUGAAUCAGUGUGUCUCACUGGUCCCAGCGUGAGUGAGUGUUGCUAUGUAUGAGUGGGCCCUGCAAUGGGAAUGGUGACCUGUCUGGGGCUGGUUCCAGCCUGGUACCCUGAGCUACCAGAAGUGGCUCUGGCCCCUUGAGCUUCUGAACUUGAAUAAGUGGGUAAAUUAUUAUCUUACUUGUUUUUGUUAACCUUUCUUAAGUGUAUGUGUAGCUCACCUUCCUUUCAAAGUUAUUUUGAUGUUUAUUUCAAUAUUAGAAGUGUUUGGGUCUUUCUUUAGAAGUUUGGUGAUUUUUUUUUUUGUGACCAAAAUAUGCUGUAGCAACUUAACUCUUGUUUAGAUCGGUUAGCUUAUAGCAAAGCUAUUUUCGUUAUGUGUUCUUUCACUUGAAGUUCCAGUUUCCAAGAACCUAUUGUCCAAGAUAAGUAAGGACUUACUGUACUUCUGGGCACACAAUGGGCUAAGCAUCUUAUAUUAUCAAAUGAGAUGAAAUAAAAUAUAAUGCUAAAAUGAUGUUAAAAAGUUAUCACAUUAUAACAAAUUAUAAGAAUUAUUAAAAUGACAGGAUAUAUUAAAGCACUGUAAAAAGUAAAGCUUAGUAGAUGCAUUAGAGGUUAUGAUUGGCAUUGCUAACAUUAUUAUUAUUAAAAUCCUUCAGUGCUGGGCACCACUUAUUUCUACCCUUAUAACCCCAUGGACCUGUACUGUAUCUUGUAAUAAAACCCUCAAUAAAUAUUUGAUACAUUGCUGAAUAAAAGGUAGGUUGACUUCUUAAAGUACCUGCAAAAUACCUCAUCCACAAGAGAAAAAGGCAAGAGAAUAACCUUGCUUCAUGAAGAAAGUAUCGAUCAUUCAGGCGUUAAAUUUUCCAUUUGUUCAUUUUUUUUUUUUUCCAGCAGAAACUCUUGGAGAAAUUGCAUAGCAUUAUUUUAAACAAUUCCCCUCAGAGGCCCAUUAGAUAGGCUUUUCUGCAGACAGGAUAGAUGUCUUUUACAGCUGGUCAGUGUUUAGUUCUCCCAAUACUUGACUGAAGAAAGAAAAUAACUGGGAUGUAAGAUAUCUGACCUAUAGAUUGCUCAUUCUCUGCAUGAGUCAAUCUUUGAAGUCGGAAGAUAAAAAUCACCAUUAAUCACAAAACUUUCUUACCAUCAUAAGGUCAGAUAUCCCAGGGCCCUUCCAAAAUUACCACGUGGACUGGCAUAGGGCGAGAUUGGCUCAGCUGUGGUCACUUUUAUGACACAGAGCUCCUUCCCUCUGGUUGAUGAUAUUGAAUGAGCAGGAAGGAAGAAAAGAAAUAAAAGUCAGCUAACCAUGGUUGAGUCAAUCCAGCCCACGGCAUUCAAAGGCUGAAGGGCCACCUGACACUCCAGAGGCUGCUGGAAAUGCAGGGCUGUUUCAUCCUGGGUAUUUUCCAGAGAGAAGUACUGAGAAGCUUAAAGUAUUUGAAUGGGAGGAGGAGAAGCAAACUACAGCUACUUCAGAGGAUAACACUAAACACCUAGUCCACUCUGUAUACACUAGAGGUGCUGUUAAUUUUCUUGUGGAGAAGGAACUGUCUUUAGAAAAAUAUCUCAAAAAGCCACUGAAGUAGAAAGUUUCAGCAUGCUGAAGAUGGAACUUGAGAAGAUAGAAAGUUCUGGGUCCUUAGUGGCAUGACUGAGUCGCUGGACCACUGUUGGAACCACCCUAUGUCUUAGUUUUUAAAUCUCUUUACUGUCUAAGACAUUUUUAGUGGAAGUAUUUAUCUCUGGCAUCCAAUAAGACCUUUAAGGAUUUGCAGUUUUAUCUAUGUGUUUGUUUAUUGUCUGCUCCACCCUACUUGAUUGUGAUCACCAUGACAUCAAUGACUGUGCAUCUUUUGUUCACUCAGGAAUAUCCAGUGCCUGCCACGCAGAGUGUGCUGCAUGUACAUGCUCACUUGAUAUCUGUUGUAGCAAAGAGUGAAAGAGAGAAGGAAUAAAUGCUUUCUCCCAUGAUGAGGGGACAUGGGGUCCAGACAAGCUGGACCAUUAUCCCAGGCCCAGCGCUCUGCUUUAUUUUUUUUUUUCCAGUACAGCAUCACAUUCAGUUACAACAGAGUGAAAUCUCCUAAGAACACGGCUGAUUAUUUCUUGAUUGCAAAAAGGACUCACUAACCCUCCGAUCUCCUGUAACGCAAGUCAAUGCUCUUCUAAUCUCCUUUUAGACAGCACCUGUACUUGUCAGUCAACGCAUGGUAGUCUGGGCUAGCCAAGUGAAUCCUUAACUAAACUGAAGUGGUGCUGAUCAUUCAGCCUUCAGAAUUGAAAAAAUCACAGCAUUGCUGAAGGAAAAGGCAUUUUUCAGGUAGAGAGGCAUAAGUCUUGGGCCAGGAAGCUUCAGUAAGAAGACAAUAAUUUCAUAGAAAUGCAUUAGCUUGGGGAGUCCAACUGCUGUUCUUGCACCUAAGAAAUUCAGAGGAGAGCUCUUUGCUUCCUUGCUCAUUCCAGUGGUUAGGAGUCAGGCCUUGUCCCAGAAUGUUCAGGUUGAUGCUUACCAUUUAAGCCUUAAGUUAAUCCGUUGAAGCUCCAGGCCUUUUAUGGGAUUCACAAGAAUAAACAGCAUUUAACUAUAGAUUCUCAAAGGUCAAAUCUUCAACCUAAAUCUGAGGAUUCAAAGCAUUGUUCACUCUAAUAAUUCUGCUAGUUCCCAACUUCACACAAACCAUUUAUUUCAGAAUGUAAACCUUGAAUAAUCUUUUCUUACUUGUAGUUUUGUGGUCAUUUAGAAAACAGCAAUACUCUAUUUUAAUUGGAACUAAGUGACAAAAAUAAGCCACUUCAUUAGUUUUCUAGAUAACGGUAAAAUGUAAGAACAAAAAGCCACUUCUUUUUCCACGUGGUAUUUUACAGUGACUUUUUUUUUUCUUUUUACUGCAUUUUAAAAUUCUACUGGAGGCAUUUCUCGGAAACUUUCUCUUACUUGUUAAUGAAUCAUCCCCUUUGAGAAUCAGCAGGUGAUUUCAGGAGCCCAGGUGUGAAUAAUUGAUUUAAGGUCGACCUUGUGGGUGGAGCCAAUGUUUACCAAGUGCAUUCAUUCGACAAACAAUUGAUGAACACCAAAUUAGAGUUCAAUUCCAGAUAACAAAAACCAGUUGAACUAAUUUCAUCAGAAAGCUACUUAAUAGGGGUAAUUAGGUGCUUACAAAAUAGAAGGGCUGGAAGCCCAGGAUCUAGGCUGACACCCAUGUAGCUAGACCCUGGAAACUGGGAUUCCAGCUGCACAGAACAGCCAAGUGUGUUCAUGACUGUGCUUGUUUGUCAGCAGGAGCAUGGCCCUGCCUUGUGAUACUGUGUUUUUCAGCUCUCACGUGGCUGAGUCUGUUUGGAGAAGUUGGUUCAAGAUGCAGCUUGACUCUCAGGGAGUCUGAAUAACUACCCUUAAUAUUGUUAGCUUUCUGGUCUCCAGCACACAGUAUGAUUUUCUGGAAGAAGGAUUUAAUGUAGUUAAAUAUGCCAACGUGUAAUAUCUGAUGUACAUUUCUACCCUGCUUGGGAUACAAAAUAAAUAAAAGCCAGUUUCUGUCUGUAAGGAGUGUACAGUUUAGUAAGAAGACAGACUCCUGAACAAAGAUGUAUACUUCAAUGUUGCCAGCCCAGGAUUAGAGAUGGGUAUUAAGAGGACCUCUGAUGAGUGAUAUUUUGCAUCUGGUGCAGGACAGUUCCCUAGGUGGCCUUGGACCAAACCAGUCCUCCCGCUUUCUCACUUGUAGUUUUAAGAAUAACUAGAAUGUGCUGGGAAUGCAACAUCCCGAGAUAAGGCCUAGGCUCUGUUCCAGUCCCCGCUAGAAACAGGAUGUCCUUCAGCACAUUAAUCCAGCAGGUCAUGUUAUCCCUGGAGUAGAAAACCCAGAGACGGCUACUUUCCAGGGUCCUGCAUCUGGGGUGCAAGUGAGGCACACGCAGAUGAGACUCCACCUGCCCUGGGCAGCUUUCCUGAGCCUUGAGAAACCAGCUCACCAUGAAUCCAAGGUGUCUGCUGUUCCUUGCCACCAUUUCAUGGAACCUGUUGUAUGUGUGAGUAUUCUCUCUUACCGGAGCAAGUAGUCAAAGUGCAGCCCAAGAUGCAGUGGGCUGAAGUAACCAGUGCAUAGUGAGCCUGCUUCUCACUGGGAUUUGAUUAAUCAUUUGAAAAUGCAUUAUUCUAAGUGCUUAACUUUAAAAGGGAAAAUAUUCUACUAUGAACGUGGACUCCCUAAAACAACAGAUUAAGGGAAGGCUGAAAGUGAUGACCCCUUUAAUUCCUGCUUUCCCAAGGAGACCCUCUGAUUCCCUGUGUGGUCCUUCCAUUUCCCCUUCAGGAGGCUGAAUGCCAUCGUGUCCACUUAUUUAGGCAAAGGAGAUGAAUGGGUUGCUUGGCUGCGGUUAGUCAUCAGGCCACUGGCAGAGUAGACUGGCACACGGAAAUCCUGAAGCUGAAUUCACUGUUACCUUUUGAGUCACUGUUACCCACCCACCCCAGACUUCCUCCCACCCCUAGUCUGAACCUGGAUCCUAUUCAAAGAUGUUUUCCCAUCUCUUUCCACUUACCUUCUGAAUUCAUUUUGGAGGAAUGUACCAAGAUCCUUUGAAUCCUCCAGGAAUGUUGAACUCAGUGAAAAGUGAUGUGGUUAAGAAAGCAAAUAAUAUGCUGAAAGAUGUUCAUUGGAAGUGGCUAGGGACAUCAAAGAAAUUGAUGAAUCUGCAUUUCAAAAAGCCAGCAGGGGGUAACAUUUCAGCUUACCUCAUAUUUCUCCUGCUUCUAAAUUGGCUAUUUACUGCCCAUGAAGUUUCUUCCUUCCCAUCAGGGCAGAAUACUAAUAUAGUUAGCCCCAGGAAAGAGAUGUCUGGAAAUGGUAUUGUCUUCUUAAAUCAAAGCAGCUGAAAGAAAUUUGUCUCUUUUAUUAACAAUGAAAUAUAGUUGCUAUCAAUGAGCAUCUACUGUAUUUCAGGCACUGUACUUAAACACUCUACAUGCAUUAUGCCAUUUAAUCCUCAAUCGUAUUGCUGAGAUCGAUAAUAUCAUUGACCCUAUUGUAUAGUUUGGGAAAAGGAGGGUAGCGAGAUUAGGAAAAUCGCCCAACUUGGCAACUGCUGGAGCAAGGAUUUGAGCUCUGUUGACCAUAUUGAUCACUAUAUGAUGUUGUCUCAUUGCCUUUAAACAACACUAGGGUUGGGUUAGGGUAGCAGAGGAUGUAUAUAAUAACACACACUGUUUAGUGAGAGUAAUUUUCCAGAACAAGCAAGAAAGGAGAAAUGCUUCAAUAAUCUUCUGAAGUUUAGUUUCCAUGGACAGUUAUGGAUUGCUAAGAAAUUGUCAAUAAAGGUAAGGGCCACGGAAGAAGCAGAAAUAAGCUGCACAGGCCAGGCACUGUGCCAUGUCAGUGGCAGAGCCACACCGUCACCUUCAUCAGAGCCCAAGGUCUGAAGACACUGAAAAGAAGAUCUGGCCACCAAAUGCCCUCAACAAGGGGUUGUCCAGACCCUGCUUCAACAUUGUCAGCAGCAGGGCAUGCUCCACCUCAGCAGACAGCCACUUUUGUUUUCAAGUAACUCUCUAAUUGCAAAAAAUGUACUUUGUAUUCAUCCAAAUCGGUGUCCAGGUAGCAUUCACAAGUAUUUGGGAGGCAGAGGCAGGAGGAUUCCUAGAGGACAGGAGUUCGUAUCCUCUGAAAACAUGUAGAAUAAAUCCAACUCCUUUCCCAUAUGAUAGUUCUUUGGAUAUUCAAAGCCCUUCCCCACACACCCAGCUGGCUUCUUAACCAUCCUUCAUACUGUGUGGAUUUGAACCAUUCUCCAUUGCAGUCUUUCUCCUUUAGGCACAUUAUAGUUUUGCGAAAAGUAUUUUGUUAGGUGAAGUACACAAAAUUAAAUAAGGCAUGUUUAGUGUCUUUAAGUAUCUCUUAAAGACAAUUGUAUGAGAUUAACUAUUGUCAAAAGCCCCCUUAAAAACUCUUCCGAGGUUCUGAGCAUGGGUGGGUCAUGUCUGUAAUCCCCACACUUCGGGAGGCCAAGGCAGGAGGAUCAUUUGAGGCCAGGAGUUUGAGACCAGCCUGGGCAAUAUAGUGAGACCCCAUCUCUACCAAUAAAUUAAUAAAAAUUAAAUUAAAAAACUACACCUAGAUAUAGACCAUUUGAAGAGUUCAGAGUGGAACUAUGAUGUCCCUACCUUGGACAGUAUACCUCCUUUAAGGAGACCUAAGUUUACAUUAGCAUUUGGAGUUGUGUUGAGUCAACUAAGCCUCUAAGUGUUUUUCACACUGACAGCUGCUAAGCCACAAACCAAGGGCAAUCACUACAGAGACAUGGAAUAAGAAAGAAUGAGUGUUUUCCAGGCUUUCUCUCCCAUUUAGUGAUUUGUGUUCGCACUACCUAUUCAUUCAUUACUUUACUUACUUGCUCAUCCCACAAACAUUUACUGAAUACUUAAGUCUGUCUAAUUAUGCAUAACAUACUUGGGUGGCCUGAAUGGGAAAGAAAUAUCAGACAUUACUUCCUGCCUUUAAAGAGACCUAUAAUUUAGCUAGGGAGGGAAAAAGAAAAAUAACUACAAAACGAAGUAACCUCUCAAAGCAUCACAUAAUGGAAAAAACACAGAAUUGAAUCUGGAACCUGGGUUAUAGAAAAGAGCUUUUUUUUUUUUUUUUUUUUUUGAGCUAGGAUCUUGUCUAUCACCCAGGUUGGAGUGCAAGAUCACAACUCUCUGUAGCCUUGACAUCCUGGGCUUAAGGCAAUCCUCCCACCUCAGCCUCUGGAGUAGCUAAGACUACAGGCACACACCAUCACAUCCAGCUAAUUUUUCUAGUUUUGGUAAAGAUGAGGUUUUACCAUGUUGCCCAGGCUAGUCUCAUACUCCUGUGUUCAAGCGAUCUGCCUGCCUGGGCCUCCCGAAGUGCUCUGAUUACAGGUGUGAGCCACUGUGUCUGACCUAGACAAGAGCACUGACUAAAGAUAAUCACAUUUACUCUCUAGAUCUCAGUUAUCUCAUUUAAAUAAUGAGACACCUGGACUUUUGGGGUUCUUUCUAUUUCUAAGGAUCUGUGCUUCCAAGUGCAAGAUAACUGUAAGCUUCUUGAGGGCAGGGAUCAUACUUCAUGUACAACUGAAUUUCCCAUUAAAUUUGUUACAGUUUUAACUCAUAAUAUCACACAAUACAUAUUUAUUGAAUGGUCUAAUGAAUUCAGAUUAAAUUGGCUUCAGCUUGGGAUACAAAAU